rnacentral:rRNA from 1 species
AUUGAACGCUGGCGGCAGGCCUAACACAUGCAAGUCGAACGGUAACAGGAAGAAGCUUGCUUCUUUGCUGACGAGUGGCGGACGGGUGAGUAAUGUCUGGGAAACUGCCUGAUGGAGGGGGAUAACUACUGGAAACGGUAGCUAAUACCGCAUAACGUCGCAAGACCAAAAAGGGGGACCUUCGGGCCUCUUGCCAUCGGAUGUGCCCAGAUGGGAUUAGCUAGUAGGUGGGGUAACGGCUCACCUAGGCGACGAUCCCUAGCUGGUCUGAGAGGAUGACCAGCCACACUGGAACUGAGACACGGUCCAGACUCCUACGGGAGGCAGCAGUGGGGAAUAUUGCACAAUGGGCGCAAGCCUGAUGCAGCCAUGCCGCGUGUAUGAAGAAGGCCUCGGUUGUAAGUACUUCUAGCGGGAGGAAGGGAGUAAAGUUAAGUACCUUU